UGGGGAAUUUUGGACAAUGGACGCAAGUCUGAUCCAGCCAUGCCGCGUGCGGGAAGAAGGCCUUCGGGUUGUAAACCGCUUUUGUCAGGGAAGAAACGAGUUUCUCUAAUACAGAGACUUAAUGACGGUACCUGAAGAAUAAGCACCGGCUAACUACGUGCCAGCAGCCGCGGUAAUACGUAGGGUGCGAGCGUUAAUCGGAAUUACUGGGCGUAAAGCGUGCGCAGGCGGUUAUAUAAGACAGAUGUGAAAUCCCCGGGCUCAACCUGGGGACUGCAUUUGUGACUGUAUAGCUAGAGUACGGCAGAGGGGGAUGGAAUUCCGCGUGUAGCAGUGAAAUGCGUAGAUAUGCGGAGGAACACCGAUGGCGAAGGCAAUCCCCUGGACCUGUACUGACGCUCAUGCACGAAAGCGUGGGGAGCAAACA
rnacentral:rRNA from 1 species